GUCAGAAAGGAUGCGCAUGCUCUCCAAAAAGUACAACCCUAACAAGUUCUGCCUCUAUCAUCGUGACCACAACCAUGACACGGAGGAGUGUAUUCAGCUUCGAGACAAGAUCGAGGAGCUCAUCAGGUGAGGUCGGCUUGACAGAUUCAUUCGACGUCGGUCUGAAGGUAGGAAGGAUCGGUCGAGGGCCCUACCACAAUCGGAGCUGCUAAGGAGGAAAGAACAACCUGAAGAUCGGCCUCCAAUC
rnacentral:lncRNA from 1 species